rnacentral:lncRNA from 1 species
CCCGCUGCUCUGCCAGCCCUCAGUACCUGCUCUUGGCAGCUUCGCCUUCCCUCUCGUAGCCCUGUCUGUGUGACCUUCCCUUUCGGAGCAGCCACGCGUUCUGUGAUGGGCUGCAGAGCCAGGCCGAGGAGUGCCGUGUGAGCACUGAAGGCCGAGUCCAGACCUCGCUGCUUCCACUAGACCAGGAACCUCCAGGUACCUCGGGGGCUUUGUCAUGUUGCAAAAAAAUGGGCAGGAAUUAAAACCCCUCCCUGUUUACUUCUCAGAUUGCUAUGAGAAUAAAUAUUUGAAAAUAUUUUGUAAAUGAAAGUUUUCAGCUUUUAUAUUUUGAUUUUGUUUUCAGAACUACAAAAGGAAAUUUAUUUCAACAGCAAAAGAGAACAUUUACAUUCGAACACAAUGAUGAAAGGAUGUCCCGCGAAAGGAAAAAAAAAGCCCGUAACAUGAAGUUUUUUAUUUGAAUUUCUGAAACAAAAUAACUUGGGGAUUCUUGCCUUAGGAAAGGAAAGGGGGAACAGCACAACAGUUCUUCUUGCCAGAGCAUAGUCCUUGCAGCUUGGUUGUCUAGAAUCCGGCAUCAAUUCAUGACCUACCCUGAUCCUCAUACACUCCCAUCAUGGGCCUGGAGGGUUCAUCUCACCGUCUUCAGCACCAGCCUGCUUCCUGGGCCCCAAGAAGGAACCUCAGGGGAAGAGGUUUCCAGAAUUCUGUUUUAUUUGUUAUUCUUGUGGCCUGGAGAGAAUAUUAUUUCACUUAGAACUCCCUCCUGUUCCUUUUCCAUUCAUCACAGAAAUGGGAAUCAAGGCCCUGACCAUUCUCUGAAGAUCACAAGGAGGAUAAACGUGCUUGCCCUUCUCCUUUGGGCAGGAUCCCAAGGGCCACGGCCCCUUGAUGCCCCUUAAUCUUGGCAUCAACAAGCCCAAAGUCUCUUGUGUGGCACUGAAGGAACUACAGACCACAGAGGGUGGAGAGCAGGCUUCUCCUCGAGUCAGUGCAAGAGCAUUAAGACUUGGCUGUACCUUUACCCCAUCCUACCAGGUCUGAUACCCUUGCUCCUCUGUGAGGAUUUCCUGAAGAGAAAUUUACAGUGCGUCUUUCAUUCUUAAUCCUGGGAAAUGGUUUUGUUUGGUGAUGGCCAUUGACCAUGACUGCAGGGGGACUUUCAGAGUGAGUGAGUGUUUGCAUAUACAUUGGAAUUAGAAAGAACUUCCAGGUUCAGCCUCCUCCAUCAGUUAGGUAAAGAACUUUGAUCUGUGCCACACACGGGAUCAGUUCACCCAAAUCAACCCACUCCUAAUAAUGGGAACAAAAGUUGAUCACCCUAUAGCUUCCCUGCUCUUAGCGUGGCCAUGAGACUGGUGUAUUCAAAACUCCCAUUUAGUGCCACCUGGGUGGCUCAGUUAAGCUUUUGACUCUUGAUUUCGGCUCAGGUCGUGAUCUCAUGGUUUGUGAGUUUGAGCCCCACAUUGGGCUCUGAACUGGCAGUACAGAGCCUGCUCGGGAAUCUCUGUCUCCCUCUCCCUCUGCCCCUCCUCUGCUAACAAAAAAUCUCUCUCUCUCAAAAAUAAAUAAAUAAACAUUAAAAAGAAAAAAAACCCGCCAAACAAAAAACCCUCCAAAAUUCCAUUCAAAACUCCCACACGUACUUCGCCACGCUCUUUUCCCCUUCCAGCUAUCUGGGACUGUCACUCCCCAGCAAGACCCUGGGAGCCAUGGGCUGGAGGAAGAGUGUCAGCCAGGAUCCUUUCAUGACAAAGUAGAAGAGAGACACCCUACCUACCCCCUGUCCCUGCUGCAAGUGUGGCUAUUCAACUGCCUUACUGGAACUGGGAGAUCUUGCUGUUAAAUAUUUUAUGUGUGCCUUAGUUUACUCAUCUGUAAAACAAGAACGAAAUUUUUUACUUCACAAGGUUUUUAAACAAGUAAUAUGAGCGCUAAUGAAUGAUGGCCACCCAUUGUAGUGCCUGGCACGUAACAGAUGCUCACAAAAUCCUUGUUGAAUACGUAUCUUCAUUCCUGGAGGACUGUUGUGAUAUUUCAAUGAAAUUGUCAUUUUGGAAACAGAGAGAUCAAGAUGGAAAAGCUAGUUAAUGGAAAUGAAAAAAUGAUAUUUCAGCCCCUUCCUCCCUCUGUUUUAAGAAGCUUGGACAAUCUGAGGAACUAGUCAUUUGUCCAGGGGAAUGGAGUAGCCUAUUGUAGGUAUCAUGGAAUCCGUAAUACAGGAGGAUGACAUCUGUUUAAUUUCAAGCCCCUUUUCAGUGUCUUCCCCAACCAAAGGACAAGAAUUUAUGGUCUCUGGGAUUGGUGUUUAAAUGAAGCAGCAGGCUAGGGGCACCUGGGUGGCUCAGUCGGUUGAGCGUCCAACUUUGGC